rnacentral:lncRNA from 1 species
GUGUUUUUUUUUUUGUGUUGUGCAGGUCUCUAUUUAUAGAGUGAGGUUGAGGCCAGAAAUCAGUAGCUUGGGGAGGAGAAAAGGCAAUUUCGGUUGUUGGAUUAGGAUGAAAGAAGAACGCGCUUGUGUUCCUAUGUUUCUGCAGAUGAGGCUUGGUGAAAGCUGGAUUGGAAUGGCAUUUGCGUGACAACCUAUUAUUCUGAACCUGGACCCUUUUGGAUUUUUUUUUAUGGAUAUUAACAAACGAAUAAAGUGAUAAAAGGAGAAAAUAAAAUAAAAAUAAAAUCAACGCAGACUUCUUUUGGGCUUAUCUAAUACGGAAUUAAAAGUAAAAAAAAAAAAUAAAAAAAUAAAAGAUGGAAAUAAUUGUUUAAAGACUGAGAGAAAGAGGGCCCGACUCGGAAACAAAAUGAGGUAUUUUAAAAUACCUCCCUGCCGAAUUUUCACUGAAAUGUGAGUCUGGUCCGAGUUCGGAAACGUGUGUCAGUGGGACCUUAGGUCAAAAUUU